GGGUCAGUAGGUUGGUCGUGCCACCGGUACGUACUGGUCUCACUGAUUCCUCCUUCCUGAAGAACCGUAAUGCCAUUAAUUUGGUUUUGCGGGGAAACAGGACUGUUACUUUGAAAAAAUUAGAGUGUUUAAGGCAAGCUAACGCUUGAAUACAUUAGCAUGGAAUAAUGAAAUAGGACGAUCGAUCCUAUUUUGCUGGUUUCUAGGAUUGACGUA
rnacentral:rRNA from 1 species